rnacentral:tRNA from 1 species
GGAAGUGCAUGAGGCCCGGUGGCCUCCCCGGUCUUCAAAACCGUGUGUCGGGCGGUAUCCCCGUCCGAGGUGGGUUCGACUCCCAUGCACUUCCGCCA